rnacentral:rRNA from 1 species
CGCGUAGGCGGUUCGUUAAGUCCUGUGUGAAAUCCCCCGGCUCAACUGGGGAACUGCACAGGAAACUAGCGGGCUUGAGUUCGGGAGAGGGAAGCGGAAUUCCGGGUGUAGCGGUGAAAUGCGUAGAUAUCCGGAGGAACACCGGUGGCGAAGGCGGCUUCCUGGACCGACACUGACGCUGAGGCGCGAAAGCUAGGGGAGCAAACG